ensembl:processed_transcript
GUUGUUCACGUUGGUCCCAUCCUCCCGCUCCUCCACGAUCCAGCGCGGGUCCCCCUGGCCCCACUUGGCCAUGGCGGCGCUGACGACGACGGCCCUGGUAGCGGGAGCGCGCGGGUUUCCGGCCAGAAGUGCUCCUCUAGAGACAAAAGAUCGUGCUUGCAAGUUCCCGGGAUUGUGGAUACAGUUACAAUAAGGGUUUAUUAAUUCUUUCCAUCGUUUUUCACCUUCUAGCAAAAACUGAAACCACCAUCUGGAAAGUGUUUCUUAGAUUUAUUUAACAAAUAAAAUAGGUAGUUAAAUGGGAGAUGGGGAAGGACCUGGCUGCUCUGUGCACUUGCCAUUCAAUGGUCUGCUUAUCAGCAAAACAAGCUGAAAGGGCUAUGGUGUUUAUUGGAGCUAUUGCAUUUCGAUGUGUUCUUCGAGAAGUUACAUCAUUCAAACUGCUGAAGCAAUGAUGUGCCCCCCCCCCCAAAUCAAACGGCAUUGUUAGUUCAACUGAUCAUACCAAAAGCACAGCUGACAGAAGGCAAGACUCUAGCGAUGAUUGGCGCGCACUUUGUGCGCCUACUUUUCAUCCAGUUCUUCUGUUUGCUCCUGAUAAAACAUUUCAUGAUAAGAUUUAGAUAUCUUCAUUUGAACCUGACAGAAAAUAAGACUUCUGAGGGUAGAAGCUGCUACAAUCACUAAAAUGUAUAAAUACCAAAGCUAUACAAGAACUGCUCCCAGUAGAAAUAAAUUUACUGGAAUGUAACUCUAUUGUGAGUCUAGGAGACCAAUGGACCCUGAAGCACUCUUCAGAUCUGCGACUUAAAAAUGACCUCCAAUAAGACAUUGCAAAAAUGGGAAAGAAACAAUGG